rnacentral:rRNA from 1 species
GACGAACGCUGGCGGCGUGCUUAACACAUGCAAGUCGAACGGAAAGGCCCUGCUUUUGUGGGGUGCUCGAGUGGCGAACGGGUGAGUAACACGUGAGUAACCUGCCCUUGACUUUGGGAUAACUUCAGGAAACUGGGGCUAAUACCGGAUAGGAGCUCCUGCUGCAUGGUGGGGGUUGGAAAGUUUCGGCGGUUGGGGAUGGACGCGCGGCUUAUCAGCUUGUUGGUGGGGUAGUGGCUUACCAAGGCUUUGACGGGUAGUCGGCCUGAGAGGGUGACCGGCCACAUUGGGACUGAGAUACGGCCCAGACUCCUACGGGAGGCAGCAGUGGGGAAUAUUGCACAAUGGGCGGAAGCCUGAUGCAGCAACGCCGCGUGCGGGAUGACGGCCUUCGGGUUGUAAACCGCUUUCGCCUGUGACGAAGCGUGAGUGACGGUAAUGGGUAAAGAAGCACCGGCUAACUACGUG